GUAGGUGAACCUGCGGAAGGAUCAUUAAUAAACGGCGAAGCCUUUUGGCCUAGCUUUUAUAACAUCUUUUAACACCUGUGAACUAUUUGCCCUUUGGGCACACUAUACAAAACAUAACUGUAAUGAAUGUAAACCUACUAUAAAGUUAAAUACAACUUUCAACAACGGAUCUCUUGGCUCUC
rnacentral:misc_RNA from 1 species